rnacentral:rRNA from 1 species
UGGGGAAUAUUGCACAAUGGGCGCAAGCCUGAUGCAGCGACGCCGCGUGAGGGAUGACGGCCUUCGGGUUGUAAACCUCUUUCAGCAGGGAAGAAGCAAGUGACGGUACCUGCAGAAGAAGCGCCGGCUAACUACGUGCCAGCAGCCGCGGUAAUACGUAGGGCGCAAGCGUUUCCGGAUAUUGGGCGUAAAGAGCUCGUAGGCGGCUUGUCACGUCGGGUGUGAAAGCCCGGGGCUUAACCCCGGGUCUGCAUUCGAUACGGGCUGGCUAGAGUGUGUAGGGGAGAUCGGAAUUCCUGGUGUAGCGGUGAAAUGCGCAGAUAUCAGGAGGAACACCGGUGCGAAGGCGGAUCUCUGGGCCAUACUGACG